rnacentral:rRNA from 1 species
UACGUAGGGUGCAAGCGUUACUCGGAAUUACUGGGCGUAAAGCGUGCGCAGGCGGUUUUGUAAGUCUGUCGUGGAAUCCCCAGGCUUAACCUGGGAACUGCGUGUGAUACUGGAAGGCUUGAAUCCGGGAGAGGGAUGUGGAAUUCCAGGUGUAGCGGUGAAAUGCGUAGAUAUCUGGAGGAACACCGGUGGCGAAGGCGACAUCCUGGACCGGUAUUGACGCUGAGGCGCGAAAGCCAGGGGAGCAAACGGG